GACUUCUGGUGUGAUGUGCCUGGCCCGCGGCUCUUUGGGCUUGUGAGUGCCGGAGCGCGUUUACCAUCCUUCUGGGGAACGAGUCUACCGUUUACUCGGCCGGAUUCGGGAUCCAGAUCAUUUACUUUGAAAAAAUUAGAGUGUUUAAAGCAGGCUAUUGCUAUGAAUACAUUAGCAUGGAAUAAUAAUCUAGGACUUCGGUUCUAUUUUGUUGGUUUCUAAAGCUGAAGUAAUGAUUGAGAGGGAGAGUUGGGGGUGCUAGUAUUGGCCUGUCAGAGGUGAAAUUCUUGGAUUCGGUCAAGACUAACUUAUGCGAAAGCAUU
rnacentral:rRNA from 1 species